rnacentral:tRNA from 1 species
AAUAAAAUGGCCGAAAUAAAUAAGCGAUAAAUUGUAAAUUUAUUUAUGAGAAAAAAAUCUCUUUUAUUA